AUUGAACGCUGGCGGCAUGCCUUACACAUGCAAGUCGAACGGCAGCACGGGUGCUUGCACCUGGUGGCGAGUGGCGAACGGGUGAGUAAUACAUCGGAACGUACCUUAUCGUGGGGGAUAACGCAGCGAAAGCUGUGCUAAUACCGCAUACGCCCUGCGGGGGAAAGCGGGGGAUCGCAAGACCUCGCGCGAUUAGAGCGGCCGAUGCCUGAUUAGCUUGGUGGUGGGGUAAAAGCCCACCAAGGCGACGAUGAGUAGCUGGUCUGAGAGGAAGAGCAGCCAGACUGGGACUGAGACACAGCCCAGAAUCCUACGGGAGGCAGCAGUGGGGAGUUUUGGACAAGGGGGGCAACCCUGAUCCAGCAAUGCCGCGUGAGUGAAGAGGGCCUUCGGGUUGUAAAGCUCUUUUGUCAGGGAAGAAACACCGGCUCUAACACAGUCCGGGAAUGACGGUACCUGAAGAAUAAGCACCGGCUAACUACGUGCCAGCAGCCGCCGUAA
rnacentral:rRNA from 1 species